rnacentral:lncRNA from 1 species
GGGUGAUUACAGGUGCCCCAGAAGGGUAAGCAGAUCCUGCUCCACAUGUGGCAUCUGUCGUGUUGUGUCUUUGCCGUUUGGAUAUUUGAUUUAUAAUUUGUUUUUUUUUCUUGUGAUGCCACGGUAUUCACUUUUUAACACAAUUUUUGUUGAUUGUUCUGAUAAUUUGUUCACUACUGACGAAAUCUGUCUUAUAUGUAUGUCUGUCUGUUUGUCUGUCCAAUCGUCAGUCCGACAAAUCAGUUUUCCACACUUUUUUCUUAAUACUUUGAGAUAUUAAUCUGAUCUUUAGCGUAUUGUUUUAU